rnacentral:rRNA from 2 species
GCGGACGGGUGAGUAACACGUGGGUAACCUGCCCAUAAGACUGGGAUAACUCCGGGAAACCGGGGCUAAUACCGGAUAACAUUUUGAACCGCAUGGUUCGAAAUUGAAAGGCGGCUUCGGCUGUCACUUAUGGAUGGACCCGCGUCGCAUUAGCUAGUUGGUGAGGUAACGGCUCACCAAGGCAACGAUGCGUAGCCGACCUGAGAGGGUGAUCGGCCACACUGGGACUGAGACACGGCCCAGACUCCUACGGGAGGCAGCAGUAGGGAAUCUUCCGCAAUGGACGAAAGUCUGACGGAGCAACGCCGCGUGAGUGAUGAAGGCUUUCGGGUCGUAAAACUCUGUUGUUAGGGAAGAACAAGUGCUAGUUGAAUAAGCUGGCACCUUGACGGUACCUAACCAGAAAGCCACGGCUAACUACGUGCCAGCAGCCGCGGUAAUACGUAGGUGGCAAGCGUUAUCCGGAAUUAUUGGGCGUAAAGCGCGCGCAGGUGGUUUCUUAAGUCUGAUGUGAAAGCCCACGGCUCAACCGUGGAGGGUCAUUGGAAACUGGGAGACUUGAGUGCAGAAGAGGACAGUGGAAUUCCAUGUGUAGCGCUGACAUGCGUAGAGAUAUGGAG